AUUGAACGCUGGCGGCAGGCUUAACACAUGCAAGUCGAGCGGGGUGAUGGUGCUUGCACUAUCACUUAGCGGCGGACGGGUGAGUAAUGCUUAGGAAUCUGCCUAUUAGUGGGGGACAACAUUUCGAAAGGAAUGCUAAUACAGCAUACGUCCUACGGGAGAAAGCAGGGGAUCUUCGGACCUGGCGCUAAUAGAUGAGCCUAAGUCGGAUUAGCUAGUUGGUGGGGUAAAGGCCUACCAAGGCGACGAUCUGUAGCGGGUCUGAGAGGAUGAUCCGCCACACUGGGACUGAGACACGGCCCAGACUCCUACGGGAGGCAGCAGUGGGGAAUAUUGGACAAUGGGCGGAAGCCUGAUCCAGCCAUGCCGCGUGUGUGAAGAAGGCCUUAUGGUUGUAAAGCACUUUAAGCGAGGAGGAGGCUACUUUAGUUAAUACCUAGAGAUAGUGGACGUUACUCGCAGAAUAAGCACCGGCUAACUCUGUGCCAGCCGCCGCCGUAACAC
rnacentral:rRNA from 1 species